GAUGAACGCUGGCGGCGUGCCUAAUACAUGCAAGUCGAGCGAACGGACGAGAAGCUUGCUUCUCUGAUGUUAGCGGCGGACGGGUGAGUAACACGUGGAUAACCUACCUAUAAGACUGGGAUAACUUCGGGAAACCGGAGCUAAUACCGGAUAAUAUUUUGAACCGCAUGGUUCAAAAGUGAAAGACGGUCUUGCUGUCACUUAUAGAUGGAUCCGCGCUGCAUUAGCUAGUUGGUAAGGUAACGGCUUACCAAGGCAACGAUGCAUAGCCGACCUGAGAGGGUGAUCGGCCACACUGGAACUGGGACACGGUCCAGACUCCUACGGGAGGCCGCAGUAGGGAAUCUUCCGCAAUGGGCGAAAGCCUGACGGAGCAACGCCGCGUGAGUGAUGAAGGUCUUCGGAUCGUAAAACUCUGUUAUUAGGGAAGAACAUAUGUGUAAGUAACUGUGCACAUCUUGACGGUACCUAAUCAGAAAGCCACGGCUAACUACGUG
rnacentral:rRNA from 1 species